GUCGAACGACUCGGACUAUGGCGAGAAGUGGCAAACUGCUCAGUAACACGUAGCUAACCUACCCUCAGGACGGAGACAACCCCGGGAAACUGGGGUUAAUCCCCGAUAGGCGUGGAUUCCUGGAAUGGUGUCACGCCGAAACGUUAACACACCAUGUUUGUGUACACGCCUGAGGAUGGGGCUGCGGCCGAUCAGGCAGUUGGUGAGGUAAUGGCUCACCAAACCUUUGACCGGUACGGGCCGUGAGAGCGGUAGCCCGGAGAUGGACACUGAGACAAGGGUCCAGGACCUACGGGUCGCAGCCGGUACGAAACCUCCACAAUGCACGAAAGUGCGAUGGGGUUACCACGAGUGCCGUCUGAAGAAGGCGGCUUUUCCAUUGUGUAAUGAGCCGUGGGAAUAAGGGGGGGGCAAGACUGGUGUCAGCCGCCGCGGUAACACCAGCCCCCCGAGUGGUGGGGAUGUUUAUUUGGCCUAAAGCGUCCGUAGCCGGCUUUGUAAAUCUCUCGUUAAAUCCAGCGUCCUAAGCGUUGGGCUGCGAGAGAAACUGCAGAGCUAGAGGGUGGGAGAGGUCAGCGGUAUUCCUGGGGUAGGGGCGAAAUCCAUUGAUCCCAGGAGGACCACC
rnacentral:rRNA from 1 species